UACAUUGUACAAGUAAUUAGACUAAUUUUAGAUUGUACCACAGUACACUGCCAGAAAUUAAAAUUGAAGAGAAAUUAACAGUUAGAAAACAAAAAUUGGGCAUAACUCAAAUUCACAAAAUAAGCUCAUGUGGUUGCAAGAACGAAUUAAGGUCAUAUAACAGAAAAUCAACGAUUAAUGACUGAAAUUGGGAAAAACUGAAACUCACGAAACAAUCCAAUGGAGACAAAGAAGAACUUCAUAGAGAGAGAAAGAGAGAAAGAGAUAAGCUUGCCGGCAGAGGGGAGGGGUGACGACCGACGCCCACGAUUUGAAGCUUCGGGUUGAUUGCAGAGGUUUGGAGAAGACCGGGGUGGUGGCGACGGGUUGGUGGUGGCGACGGGACUUCAGACGGUCGAAAUUGGGAGAAAAGCGAACGGUUUCGGAAUGGGAGAAAUUUUGGGCACAAUGCGAUUGCGAACGGACGGACGGCCGGGCAGGAGGGGGGUGCUAUUAGGGCAUACGGAU
rnacentral:lncRNA from 1 species